CGCGUAGGCGGCUUGUCAAGUCAGGGGUGAAAUCCGGCAGCUUAACUGUCGAAGUGCCUUUGAUACUGAUGAGCUCGAGGGAGGUAGGGGUAUGUGGAACUUCCGGUGGAGCGGUGAAAUGCGUUGAUAUCGGAAGGAACGCCGGUGGCGAAAGCGACGUACUGGACCUCUUCUGACGCUGAGGCGCGAAAGCUAGGGGAGCAAACG
rnacentral:rRNA from 1 species